rnacentral:rRNA from 1 species
UGUGUAGGUGGCGCCGUAAGUCGGGUGUGAAAUUUCGGAGCUUAACUCCGAAACUGCAUUCGAUACUGCGGUGCUUGAGGACUGGAGAGGAGACUGGAAUUCAUGGUGUAACAGUGAAAUGCGUAGAGAUCAUGAGGAAGACCAGUGGCGAAGGCGGGUCUCUGGACAGUUCCUGACACUGAGACACGAAGGCCAGGGAGCAAACG